rnacentral:lncRNA from 1 species
CACAUGAAAUUUCUCUUCUGGAUCAUUAAAGAGAUAGCUCUGCAGAAAGGCCACUGUGGGUGUGUGUACUUUUCUUUGAGUUGUGGGCGAGGGAUGGUGUUUAUGAAGGUAAAUGAAGCAGCGUCUGAAAUCUUAUGAACAAGUUCCGCCUUCAGUCAAGCGCAGCAGAUUGUGUUCCAUCUGCAGUUCUCAGCAGGGUCUAUCCACUGACGACUGAAGAAAGAGUUCUUUAUUUUGAAAACAUAUGGAGAGUGAAAAACUCUCAUAUGGAAAAAAAGAAGAAAGAAAAGAUGGUGUGAGUCUAGCUGAGACAGUUUAUUUGUGGAAAUUUAUAAGAAUGUGUCACAAAACUCACUUUAAGCUUCCUAAUUGCCAGCUGUGGGCCUGAAAAAUGAGGGACGGGUCCUAACUUCCGUGUUGCGAGAUUUUCUUUACAGUUGUCUUGAUUGCCUGGCUGCCAUAUACAUGCAUUUUUUUUUUUAAAGUUGAGUCCUCUGAUUUGUUCUCUUUUGCUCUUGAAUUCUUAACAAAAUCAGAGCACUCUCCUUUCUAUCUAUAGCAAUAGAAGCAAAUGGGAAGUGAGAGGAAGGAGAGCAUUUACAAAUAGAUGAAGUGGUGAGCUGGCGAGCUUUGAAGUAUCACAGAUCUCUCCUACUACGCAACGUCUGAUAUUCCCUGUAUCACCAGACGGAGGCCUUUGGAGAAUUUUGGUGUCAUUUUUAAAUUUUCUGAUUUAAAUCACAACUAGCAGGUAGAGGAAACCUGGUAGUAGUGCUAGAGGGAAGGGUCUGGGUUAUGCCCUGGUUAACGAUUUAGUGGGUAGUUAAGAACCAGAAAGAAGACGUGCUCUUGGAAGAACGGUCCAGCGCUGCAAGAGAGAGAAGACCCAACGGGGAGGCAAGUGUGCCCAAGGUAAACCUUAACCAUGUGCCAAGCUGGUAGAGGAGGGUUAAUUCUUCAAAAGGAUUAUACUCAUAGAGAUAUGCUUUCUCCUCUGAACCCAAACAACUAAAGGAUUAUUUUAAAGGACAUUCAUUAAUUUGUUCUAAAGAUGGAAAUAAUCUGUGCACAGUAUGGAACAUUUGAAUGUAUAUGAAGCUGAGUGUUUGAUGAAGAUAGGACUUGAAAUUCUCUUUUCUUGAGAUAACCGCCCUUUGGAGAGUCUUCCGUUUUUUGGUUGCUGGAGACGGAAGGGUUACAGUUCACAUUCGGAGCAACUUUGCCUUGACUUCAUCGUCAGGAUGAGUGCAAGAAUUUUAUUGAACACCACAUUGCGGUCUCAGCUCCUCUUUGGGUUGGAAAGGGAAGGAACUGAAUCCAUGCUUGGAGUGAAAAGAGGAGGCGCGGGGAAACCAACACAGAGGAGCCACUAAUGCGGGAUCAAAGUGACUUGAGAGAUGCGGAGUGGGAGGUGUCUCUCCUCACCUUGACAUCGCUAGGAAGAUUCACUCUGAGCUAACAUCUAGGCCAAUCUUCCUCUAUUUUGUAUAUGGGUUACCCCCACAGCAUGGCUGAUGAUUGAUGUAGGUUCACGCCCAGGACCUGAACUCCCGAACCCAUGCCACUGAAGCGGAGCACACAAACUUAACCACUACACCACUGGGCCUGCCUUGAAAAUCUCCCCCUUUUUAAAGAUCUGAAUGGCCAGCAUCUCUACUCUAGCACUUUGGGGCCGUUAUUGCAUGAAAGAAGGGUGACUGGAACACGAGCACUGCGUGACCUGGACAGCCAUCUGAUAACUGAGAUGGCUACGAAGUGCCUAACGGGCGGGCAGCAGAUAUGGCAUGGAUCCACUGGACAAGGGGUCAUUCACAUCGCGGGCAGGACAGAAGAGGACUGGCUCGAGAUUUCAUCAUGCUACUCAGAAAGCAUAUGCAGAGAGCUUAGAUCUUGUAGAUCUGGCUACCCACCUGGUGAGGAGUAGUCAAUGGGAAUAGAGGAAGCUGAAUUGCUUUCCACAGGAAUAUCUAGCAGCAAAAACAGCACACGAUACUUUCUCAGUGGGUCGCCAUGCUACAUGGAGUUAUCAAUAAGUCAUCUCCCCAGAAUGUGACAUCCCUGGUGGCAGGGAUAACGUCUAACCCGAUGCACGGCUUAUUGAGACACCGUAGGUAUUUUUGUUGGGUAAGUGAAUGGAGAGAAUGAAUGAUGGUGGCUUUUUAUUGCUAUGUGGUGGAGUAAUAAAGUGUGAGCUCCUUGAUUCUGGUUGUUGUCAAAAAUGAUCUGUCUUGUGAGGCAGAAUUAGGGUCACUUAUACCAAAUAGGUUCUAAAUUCCAUGAAAGAGAUCUCAGGGAUUUGUAUUACAGCCUUUUCCUGAGAAAACAAGGUGCAGCCUGAUUUACCUAAUCGAUUUACCUAAUCAAUAAACUAGGCAAGUUUUAUACAUUGAUGCCAACUCCCCCGGCAUGAUCUCACGGUAUUUUUUGGAUGGGGAGGUGUCUCAGAGGAGCUGAAAGCAGUGGCAUGCUGUCCCAGCACAGACCCUCCGUACAUCACCUUUGCCCCAAACUCCCCCUUAUGACUAACCUACUUUGCUUUUUACACAACAGAAUUAGCAUGAGUAAAUCCAUUUGAAAAUGUAUCUCCUUUCUAUGGUUUUGUGUCAAGGAAAGAAGAUAGAAAUAGUAUGUUCUUUAAAAUUGUUUGUAGUAAUACAAAAAAGACAGUGUUUAUCUUUACCAUCAAUUCCAGUUGAUCAAAUCUUACUUUGCCUGAAACAGUCCUGUCUGAGACUCCCUCCUAGAUGCUUCUCUACCUGGCAUCCAGAACUGUAAAUCAGGCUGGCAAAGGGAAGUGGAGAGCUUCCACGACUAGCUGGAUAAUUAAGGCCAAGACCCUGGUGGGGGAAUUGGGCCAAUGCUACAGGAGAAGAGUAUCUGAUCUUUGGUGGCGUGAACCAUAAAACAUGGAAUGAAGAAACUGGGAGGGACCUCAGUGACUUUGAAUCUGACACCUGCAGCUUGAAGAUGAACACUGAGAAGCCUGGAGAAGGUCAGUGCCCCCCAAAGGUCAUUCAUCACAUGAACAGAAGCUCUGCUUUGAGAGCCAGGACUCCUGCCUCCCCUGAUUUCCUUUCAGGAGGUUUUCUUACUAUCUCAGUUUUUUGGGGGGAAUUAUUUUUGUAACUCAGUUUUUUUUUUCUGAAUUUCCAAAUUAAUUUUC